rnacentral:ncRNA from 1 species
AAAACAACGUUGACGCGGAAGAGUAUGCAAAAGCGCACUUGUCCAGAGAGUUAUCCAUUAGCUGCGAGGAUAAUCAAGCUGUCUUUGCUGAAUGGCCCGCUGAGUUGCUCACCGAAUCUGGGUUGCUACCUGGUAGUAGGCUGAGCCGUGAUUGCCUCCGUUAGCGGGCUGCGAGCGCGUAACCAUUGUGAUGGUUGCGAAUUCGGGUGGUACCGCGAGAAUCAAGCCGUCUCUCGUCCCGUAU